rnacentral:tRNA from 1 species
AGCGGAGUAGAGCAGUGGCAGCUCGAAUGCCUCAUAAGCAUUAGGUCGCUGGUUCGAAUCCAGUCUCCGCAA